AGAGAGCUCCUACGCGAGGCAGCAGUGGGGGAUAUUGCACAAUGGGGGAAACCCUGAUGCAGCGACGCCGCGUGGGUGAAGAAGCGCCUCGGCGCGUAAAGCCCUGUCAGCAGGGAAGAAAAUGACGGUACCUGAAGAAGAAGCCCCGGCUAACUACGUGCC
rnacentral:rRNA from 1 species